rnacentral:rRNA from 1 species
GAUGAACGCUAGCGGGAUGCCUUACACAUGCAAGUCGAACGGAGUGGCGAACGGGUGAGUAAUGUAUCGGAACGUGCCCAGUAGCGGGGGAUAACUACGCGAAAGCGUAGCUAAUACCGCAUACUAUUGGAGCGGCCGAUAUCGGAAUAGCUAGUGGGGGGGGUAACGGCUCACCAAGGCGACGAUCCGUAGCUGGUUUGAGAGGACGACCAGCAACACUGGGAAUGAGACACGGCCCAGACACAUAAGUGAGGCAGCAGUGGGUAAGUUUGGACAAUGGGGGAAACCCUGAUCCAGCCAUCCCGCGUGUGCGAUGAAGGCCUUCGGGUUGUAAAGCACUUUUGGCAGGAAAGCGGUACCUGCAGAAUAAGCACCGGCUAACUACGUGCCAGCAGCCGGGGUAAUUC